rnacentral:misc_RNA from 1 species
AACGCACAUUGCGCCCUCUGGUAUUCCGGGGGGCAUGCCUGUUCGAGCGUCAUUAUAACCACUCAAGCUCUCGCUUGGUAUUGGGGUUCGCGGUUUCGCGGCCCCUAAAAUCAGUGGCGGUGCCUGUCGGCUCUACGCGUAGUAAUACUCCUCGCGAUUGAGUCCGGUAGGUCUACUUGCCAGCAACCCCUAAUUUUUUAAGGUUGACCUCGGAUCAGGUAGGGAUACCCGCUGAACUUAA